GCUCGUGUGGCUCAAUGGAUAGAGCGUCGGCCUUCGAACUGAAGGGUCCCGGGUUCGAUUCUGGUCAAGGGCA
rnacentral:tRNA from 1 species